rnacentral:rRNA from 1 species
GGCUCAGAACGAACGCUGGCGGCGUGCCUAACACAUGCAAGUCGAACGUGAUUAGAGAGCUUGCUCUCUAUGAAAGUGGCGCACGGGUGAGUAACGCGUAGAUAAUCUACCUGAUGAUUUGGGAUAACACUUCGAAAGGGGUGCUAAUACCGAAUAAGCCCACGGAGUCCUUGGACACUGCGGGAAAAGGGGGGGACCUUCGGGCCUUCCGUCAUCAGAUGAGUCUGCGUACCAUUAGCUAGUUGGUAGGGUAAAGGCCUACCAAGGCGACGAUGGUUAGCUGGUCUGAGAGGAUGAUCAGCCACACUGGAACUGAGACACGGUCCAGACUCCUACGGGAGGCAGCAGUGGGGAAUUUUGCGCAAUGGGGGAAACCCUGACGCAGCAACGCCGCGUGAGUGAUGAAGGCCCUUGGGUCGUAAAGCUCUGACAGAGGGAAAGAAAUGUGGAGUGGCUAAUAACCGCACCACUUGACGGUACCCUCAAAGGAAGCACCGGCUAACUCCGUGCCAGCAGCCGCGGUAAUACGGGGGGUGCAAGCGUUGUUCGGAUUUAUUGGGCGUAAAGCGCGUGUAGGCGGUUUUUUAAGUCUGAUGUGAAAGCCCUGGGCUCAACCUGGGAAGUGCAUUGGAUACUGGAAGACUUGAAUACGGGAGAGGGCAGUGGAAUUCCUGGUGUAGGAGUGAAAUCCGUAGAUAUCAGGAGGAACACCGGUGGCGAAGGCGGCUGCCUGGACCGAUAUUGACGCUGAGACGCGAAAGCGUGGGUAGCAAACAGGAUUAGAUACCCUGGUAGUCCACGCCGUAAACGAUGAGUACUAGGUGUUGCGGGUAUUGACCCCUGCAGUGCCGCAGCUAACGCAUUAAGUACUCCGCCUGGGAAGUACGGUCGCAAGACUAAAACUC